rnacentral:snoRNA from 1 species
GGCCUCCUGGUGCUUACCACAAGCUAUGUUCUUACACACUGCACAGAAAUAGGAGGCAGAGUAAACCCACCCUAUAUAAAUUUCAGCUUAGGCCCUUUGUCUGUUCUGUAUUGUGAAUGGGGAGAUAUUG